rnacentral:sRNA from 1 species
UUGCGCAAGGCAUGUUUAAUUGAGCAAUAUUAGCAAUCCUCUGUCACCACGUCGGGCCUAUGCUUAUCACCAGAAUCACUGCAACAAAAUCACUGCCCGGACAUAGCGUCCACAGCGGCCCGCCGAACCAGGUGCGCCGCGGCCGACAAUCCCACAGGGUUGCCCCGGCCCCCCGGGCUGCACACUGUCCAGAAGACGGCGUGAGGUGAGCCGGCAUCAAAAGCGCCGAGCACGGACGAAAUUCUCCAAAGGGAGGCCGACGGGCCUCCCU